rnacentral:rRNA from 1 species
CUUGAACGCUGGCGGCAGGCCUAACACAUGCAAGUCGAAUGGUAACAGGAAACUGCUUGCUGUUUCGCUGACGAGUGGCGGACGGGAGAGUAAUGUCUGGGACACUUCCUGAUGGAGGGGGAUAACUACUGGAAACGGUAGCUAAUACCGCAUAACGUCGCAAGGCCAAAGAUGGGGACCUUCGGGCCUCUUGCCUGCAGAUGUGCCCAGAUGGGAUUAGCUAGUAGGUGGGGUAACGGCUCACCUAGGCGACUAUCCCUAGCUGGUCUGAGAGGAUGACCAGCCACACUGGAACUGAGACACGGUCCAGACUCCUACGGGAGGCAGCAGUGGGGAAUAUCGCACAAUGGGCGAAAGCCUGAUGCAGCCAUGCCGCGUGUAUGAAGAAGGCCUUCGGGUUGUAAAGUACUUUCAGCGGGGAGGAAGGGAGUAAAGUUAAUACCUUUUCUCAUUGACGUUACCCGCAGAAGAAGCACCGGCUAACUCCGUG